UACGUAGGGGGGCAUAGUCGUUCGGAUCGAUUGAUGGCGUAAAAGAGCUCGUAGGCGGUUUGUCGCGUCGACUGUGAAAACCCGAGGCUUAACCUCGGGCCUGCAGUCGAUACGGGCAGACUAGAGUUCGGUAGGGGAGACUGGAAUUCCUGGUGUAGCGGUGAAAUGCGCAGAUAUCAGGAGGAACACCGGUGGCGAAGGCGGGUCUCUGGGCCGAUACUGACGCUGAGGAGCGAAAGCGUGGGGAGCGAACAGG
rnacentral:rRNA from 1 species